CAGUAGCCGCGGUAAAACGUAGGGCGCAAGCGUUGUCCGGAAUUAUUGGGCGUAAAGAGCUCGUAGGCGGUCUGUCGCGUCUGGUGUGAAAUCCCGAGGCUCAACCUCGGGCUUGCAUCGGGUACGGGCAGACUAGAGUGCGGUAGGGGAGACUGGAAUUCCUGGUGUAGCGGUGGAAUGCGCAGAUAUCAGGAGGAACACCGAUGGCGAAGGCAGGUCUCUGGGCCGCAACUGACGCUGAGGAGCGAAAGCGUGGGGAGCAAACAGGAUUAGAUACCCCCGUAGUCCCUGUCUCUUAUAC
rnacentral:rRNA from 1 species